UUGUUAUUCUGUUGAGCACCAAAGUUUGUAUUUUUCCUGUAUACACUCUUUCAAUUGAUUGCAAUUUUGGCCUGUGAAAUUGGCCGGUAAACAAAGUUGCAUGUACCUGUUUUUACCCCACAGAUUUUCAAAACUUAGAUGAAGAGAGUAGCACAGGAUUCAUUUUUUUGGUACAUGAGACUGUAUGUAGUUUAGGUAUUCUGCUGUUGUCAUAGUUUUAGGAGUGAACUUCCUAAAUAUGUGGCAUAACCUG
rnacentral:misc_RNA from 1 species